ensembl:lncRNA
CAUGGACUGUAGCCUGCCAGGCUCCUCUGUCCAUAGCAUUCUCCAGGCAAGAAUACUGGAGUGGGUUGCCAUUUCCUCCUCCGGGGAUCUGCCCAACCCAGGGACUGAACCCAGGUCUUCUGCAUUGGCAGGCAGAUUCUUUACCACUGAGCCACCUGGGAAGCCCAGCUGUGAUGUCUGGCUCUGUUUUUCACCCUCUCCUCUUGGUUAUGCUGUUUCCCCAGACCCUUUAUAAAGACAGUUACCCCACAGAAGUUGUAUGCGUUAAGCCAGGAAUUCUCAGCCUAUGCCUCCAGCCAGGCUGCACACCUGCCAAUACAGUGUUCCCAGGCUGCCGGAUGUCUCGGGCCCAUCUCCUCAGAGCCGUGACCAGGACCAGGGAGGAAAACGGAGCCCUGUGUACCCCUAAUAGCUCAAAGGUCCUGUUCAUCCUAAUGAAGAUGCAUCGUUGGCACUUGCCUCCCGCAUGGCUGGGAAAGAGCAGUGCAACCAAAAGGCCCCAUCCAGAUGGAGGAGCUCAGUAGAACAUCUGCCUUGCAUGUCUGUCACCUCCCUACCUCCUGCUGCUGUGUUAGCUGCCAGCCAUUAUAGCAGCUCCUGAGUCAAGGGCCCUCCUCUUGUAGUGUUUUCUUGGAGCUUUGACAGAUUAUCUACACUGUCAUUCCCAACAGCAUCGUGCCAUCUUUCUUAAAACUGCAGGAAGAUCCUGAUGGAAAUCUCAGUCCUUUUAAAAAAAAAAAAAAAAACCCUCCAAAAUAAAUUCCAUUAAAC